AUUGAACGCUGGCGGAAUGCUUUACACAUGCAAGUCGAACGGCAGCACGGACUUCGGUCUGGUGGCGAGUGGCGAACGGGUGAGUAAUGUAUCGGAACGUGCCCAGUCGUGGGGGAUAACGUAGUGAAAAUUACGCUAAUACCGCAUACGAUCCAUGGAUGAAAGCGGGGGAUCGCAAGACCUCGCGCGAUUGGAGCGGCCGAUAUCAGAUUAGGUAGUUGGUGGGGUAAAGGCCCACCAAGCCAACGAUCUGUAGAUGGUCUGAGAGGACGAACAGCCACACUGGAGCUGAGACACGGUCCAGACUCCUACGGGAGGCAGCAGUGGGGAAUUUUGGACAAUGGGCGAAAGCCUGAUCCAGCCAUUCCGCGUGCAGGAUGAAGGCCCUCGGGUUGUAAACUGCUUUUGUACAGAACGAAAAGGUUUCUACUAAUACUAGGAGCUCAUGACGGUACUGUAAGAAUAAGCACCGGCUAACUACGUGCCAGCCGCCGCGGUAA
rnacentral:rRNA from 1 species